GAGAGAGAGAGGGGGAGGGAGAGAUGGAUAUGCGACUGUUUUAGUGAUACAUUUAAUUGACAAGGAUCGUAUGAUUACAUUUUGAAAUGUCUUGGUCUGUAAUUAGAGCUGUUGAAUAUGUUUUACUGUGAUAUAACACUUAAAUACGAGCAUGUUAGCUUGCUAACCGGUCCUGCGAUAUAAAUACAGUUUGCUAAUGCUAACUUUGGUGAGUUCAAUGACCAGAGAUUUAUGCAAAUAACAAAAAGUUGUUUUUAUUUUCGUUCCUCAGAGAGCGAGCGAGCGAGAGAGAGAGAGAGAGAGAGAGAGAGAGAGAGCGAUGCACUGACUCGGUUUUUAUCUUUUAAAUCCAUUCUCUGGUCGUUAGUGAACUCGCCAUAUAAGUUAUAGAAGAGGGUUAAAGCUUACUCUAGGUAAAUAACUAGCUGCCAUAUUAGCAGAGUUAGAUAAACACUGCCUAUGCUUCUUAGCUAGUUGACUAAUCCUGAGCUAGAAUAUGGCGGGAGAUAUGAAGCGCAUUCCUGAGCUGGAGCAGGAGAAAUAUGACGCAGAUGAACAGGUGAAGAUUAUCUGCCUCGGGGACAGUGCAGUGGGAAAAUCCAAGUUAAUGGAAAGAUUUCUAAUGGAUGGAUAUCGACCUCAGCAGCUGUCCACCUAUGCCCUGACGUUAUACAAAUACACCACCACUAUCAAUGGCAGGCCCGUGCUCGUCGAUUUCUGGGACACUGCUGGCCAGGAGUGCUUUCAGAGCAUGCACCCGUCCUACUAUUUCAAAGCACACGCUUGUAUCAUGGUUUUUGACGUUCAGAGGAAAGUAACAUACAAGAAUCUUUCCAACUGGUAUAAAGAGCUGAGAGAAUACAGACCUGAAAUUCCCUGUCUGGUGGUGGCUAAUAAAAUAGAUGCUGACAUGAGAAUGACACAGAAGAGCUUUAACUUUGCUAAGAAGCAGGGACUGCCUUUCUACUUCGUAUCUGCUGCUGAUGGGACUAAUGUGGUCAAGGUUUUCAAAGAUGCGAUAAACAUGGCUUUGUCUUACAAGAAGAACUCCAGUGACUUUAUGGAUGUGGUCAUGAGAGAACUGGAGAACUUUGAUUUGGAGCGCAAAGAAGAGUCAGCUUAUGAAGAAGAAGAAGAAGAAGAAGAGGGAAGAGCAGACUGACGCUCUCGGCGUGUGGUGGAAGCUAAAUGGUUUUUCUCGGCAUUAGAGUGCUGUUAAAAUCACGGCUGCUCACCAACCUUCCUAAGAGUUUACGAGCCUUUCAUAACAAAAGUGAAGCCAGUGGGGACAAAGCUCUACCUCAUGUGUUGGAUCGAUCCCUGUGAUCCCCAGUGUAAUAAAUAUCUCUGUCUGGCUUUAGAAGGUCUUAGAAACAUGCUAUACAAGUACAGUGCAGGUAUUAUACAGUGCAUCCAGAAAGUAUUCACAGCGCUUCACUUUUUCCACAUUUUGUUAUGUUACAGCCUUAUUCCAAAAUGGAUUAAAUUCAUUAUUUUCCUCCAAAUUCUACAAACAAUACCCCAUAAUGACAACGUGAAAGAAGUUUGUUUGAAAUCUUUGCAAAUUUAUUAAAAAUAAAAAACAAGAAAAGCACAUUUACAGAAGCAUUCACAGCCUUUGCCAUGACACUCAAAAUUGAGCUCAGGUGCAUCCUGUUCCCACUGAUCAUCGUUGAGAUGUUUCUACAACUCGAUUGGAGUCCACCUGUGGUAAAUUCAUUUGAUUGGACAUGAUUUGGAAAGGCAGACACCUGUCUAUAUAAGGUCCUACAGUUAACAAUGCAUGUCAGAGCACAAACCAAGCCAUGAAGUCCAAGGAAUUGUCUGUAGACCUGUGAGACAGGAUUGUAUCAAGGCACAGAUCUGGAGAAGGGUACAGAAACAUUUCUGCAGAAGGUCCCAAUGAGCACAGUGGCCUCCAUCAUCCAUAAAUGGGAGAAGUUUGGAACCAGCAGGACUCUUCCUAGAGUUGGCCGCCCGGCCAAACUGAGUGAUCGGGGGAGAAGGGCCUUAGUCAGGGAGGUGACCAAAAACCCGAUGGUCACUCUGACAGAGCUCCAGUGUGUCUCUGUGGAGAGAGGAGAACCUUUCAGAAGAACAACCAUCUCUGCAGAACUCCAUCAAUCAGGCCUGUAUGGUAGAGUGGCCAGACGGAAGCCACUCCUCAGUAAAAGGCACAUGACAGCCCGCCUGGAGUUUGCCAAAAGGCACCUGAAGGACUCUCAGACCAUGAUGAAACAAAGAUUGAACUCUGUGGCCUGAAUGGCAAGCGUUAUGUCUGGAGGAAACCAGGCACCACUCAUCACCUGGCCAAUACCAUCCCUACAGUGAAGCAUGGUGGUGGCAGCAUCAUGCUGUGGGGAUGUUUUUCAGCGGCAGGAACUGGGAGACUAGUCAGGAUCGAGGGAAACAUGAAUGCAGCAAUGUACAGAGAUAUCCUUGAUGAAAACCUGUUCCAGAGCGCUCUGGACCUCAGACUGGGGCGAAGGUUCAUCUUCCAACAGGACAACGACCCUAAGCACACAGCCAAGAUAACAAAGGAGUGGCUACAGGACAACUCUGUGAAUGUCCUUGAGUGGCCCAGCCAGAGCCCAGACUUGAACCCGAUUGAACAUCUCUGGAGAGAUCUGAAAAUGGCUGUGCACCGACGCUCCCCAUCCAACCUGAUGGAGCUUGAGAGGUCCUGCAAAGAAGAGUAGGAGAAACUUCCCAAAAAUAGGUGUGCCAAGGUUGUAGCAUCAUACUCAAAAAGAACUGAGGCUGUAAUUGGUGCCAAAGGUGCUUCAACAAAAUAUUGAGCUAAGGCUGUGAAUACUUGUGCUUUUUUGUUUUUUUUUAUUUUUAAUAAAUUUGCAAAGAUUUCAAGCAAACUUCUUUCACGUUGUCAUUAUGGGGUAUUGUUUGUAGAAUUUUGAGGAAAUUAAUGAAUUUAAUCCAUCUUGGAAUAAGGCUGUAACAUAACAAAAUGUGGAAAAAGUGAAGUGCUGUGAAUCCUUUCCGGAUGCAAUGUAGGUACAGUGGUGUGGGUUUUUCACAGAUGUUUCAAAUUUCUGGAUGCAGCUGUUCAGGAACGCGAGUUGGCAGCCAUGGUGUAAUCUGUGUGUGUAAAUAUGUAGCGGUGAGAAGACAUCCUGCUAUUUGCUAUCUAUUGUUAUGUUUAUUUUAUUUUUUUCCUCAUAAGUGAUAUCACAGUGGAAAGACUUGCUAACACUAUUGACAUUUUGCAUUAUGUUGGUAGUAUUUAUACCGUGGAAAUUUAUGUUAAAUGUACUUGAAUCAUCAUUUUAUAAACUGUUUUCCAGUGGUACGCGAUAAUUCCGAUAAUCCAGAAUUAAAAGGAUGUAUAAACAGCUCGUCAUUUUUGCACAAACUGUGAAAAGAAGUUGUGUGUCCGCUUGUAGAAUUCAUAUACACAUUGUCUUCUGUUUGAUGUGACGUUUAACUCUUGUUGAUGUCCUGUGGGCCGGCUGUGACAGUAUAAUCGGUACUGUUCGUAUCGUCAGACUGGAUAAUCAGAGGUAAUGUGGCAAACCUAGUGAGAUUACGGUUUAGUUUGUCUCAGAGUGCCGCAUUGUCAUGUAAUGUUUAUUACUCGUUUUAGAGUCCAGGGUGAACUGUGUCUAAUGACUUGUUACCUGGAAUUGAUACACACACACACACAGACAGACAGACAUUAAAAAAUAAAUUCCUCAGAGUAUGAUAAAGGCACAAGAAAAAAAAAAAAAGAUAACCAGUGCAUUUCUUGCCAUUUUUAUUGUGCUUUUGUUGGUCAGGAAACGAGUGACAACUCUACAGAGCAUGGUAAUGUUAAUGAUGUCAGUUUAUUUAACAUUUCCCCCAACUGAUCCUGUUUAAAUAUAGUAAAGUUACAAAGAAAUCAUUGCCAUUCUCUCUCUCUCUCUCUCUCUUUUUUUUUUUUUUUUUUUUUUUUUUUUUUUUUUUUUUUUUAAGAGGAUCAAAUUUGUGUAGUAUCUGAGGCGCAUCACUGAAGAGGAAGGGAGAAGGCUUUUAAAGGUGAAGGGGUUUCUGAUGGAAGGGGCGCAGUGUAAGGAGUGGCGAGGGCACACCGGGGGAAUGUCCAGGUGAGGGUGAGCGGCUCCUGGCGCUUGAGCUCCUCAUGACGAAGCGCACCUCCUUCGGCUCAUGGGGCAGGCUGAGGCUGGAGGAUUUUAGGAUGGUGGGGGCCGCGGUGGGCGAGGUAGCCAGGCCGAAGCCUCGGAUGGGUCCGAGUGGAUCUGAACGAUCUGGGGAAGCAGAGCCAGGGCUGGGUGUCCGACGGGUCAUUGGGUAUCGGCUGCCUGGUCGGAUGGUGUAAGUGGUGCCGUAACUUCUCUGAGAGAUGGUGUGGAGCUCCCCUAGACUGCUGAAGAGUCUGAAAGAUAGAGAAAUGGGAUAAAAAAGAAAAACGAGCAUAAAACAAUUGAGCAAACGUGACAUGCAUCAGCAAAGCAGCCCACAGACCUGUCCGUCUGAAUGAGGAUAAAGCCGAGAGAGAGAGACAGAGAGAGAGAGAGAGAGAGAGAGAGAGAGAGAGAGAGAGAGAGAGAGAGAGAGAGAGAGAGAGAGAGAAAGCAAAGCGAGGAAGAGUAGGAGGAAGAGUAGUAGGAGGAGGAUGGCAAGCUCAGCCUUCAUAUUACUGAACACACGGUCCCCAAAUAAAUAGACUGCUUCUCCAGUUCAUCAAAGGACCAAGUGUUAAGUACAAUGUGGCAACUAAAUGUGACAGGACGCUGAGAUAUUGUUCAUUUAUCCUUAAUCUCCGAGGCAUUAUCUGAAUCGUGAGAGUAGACAUGAACAUGUAGGGCGAAGUGAGGUGAGUAGCCAGUGAGACAUGGAUGGAGAAAGAGGAGGAGUUCAGUUAACGGUGGGCCUCCAAGGACGAGAGAAAGAAAGACAAGAAGAUGAGGUGAUGCAUGCGCACUUACACAGGUGCCCGGCCCUCCGGGGCUUAGCCUCAGAUUCAGUUCUAGACAGAGCAGCGUGGCAUGCAGAGAGAGAGUGAGUGAGAGAGAGACAGACAGAGAGAGAGACAAAAAGAGAGUGAGACAGAGGCAAUGACAAACAAAGAGCGAUUGGUUAGCAUCAGUCCAUGAGAGAGCAGAAACAGACAGGCACUUCACAUUAAAAAUGUCAACCAAAUAAAAGCUAUGAGACGAA